rnacentral:rRNA from 1 species
GCUAACACAUGCAAGUCGAGCGGUAGAGAGAAGCUUGCUUCUCUUGAGAGCGGCGGACGGGUGAGUAAUGCCUAGGAAUCUGCCUAGUGGUGGGGGGUAACGUUCGGAAACGGACGCUAAUACCGCAUACGUCCUACGGGAGAAAGCGGGGGAUCUUCGGACCUCGCGCCAUUAGAUGAGCCUAGGUCGGAUUAGCUAGUUGGUGAGGUAAUGGCUCACCAAGGCGACGAUCCGUAACUGGUCUGAGAGGAUGAUCAGUCACACUGGAACUGAGACACGGUCCAGACUCCUACGGGAGGCAGCAGUGGGGAAUAUUGGACAAUGGGCGAAAGCCUGAUCCAGCCAUGCCGCGUGUGUGAAGAAGGUCUUCGGAUUGUAAAGCACUUUAAGUUGGGAGGAAGGGCAGUAACCUAAUACGUUAUUGUUUUGACGUUACCGACAGAAUAAGCACCGGCUAACUUCGUGCCAGCAGCCGCGGUAAUACGAAGGGUGCAAGCGUUAAUCGGAAUUACUGGGCGUAAAGCGCGCGUAGGUGGUUCAGUAAGUUGGAAGUGAAAUCCCCGGGCUCACCUGGGAACUGCUUUCAAAACUGCUGAGCUAGAGUACGGUAGAGGGUGGUGGAAUUUCCUGUGUAGCGGUGAAAUGCGUAGAUAUAGGAAUGAACACCAGUGGCGAAAGNGACCACCUGGACUGAUACUGACNCUGAAGUGCNAAAGCGGUGGGAGCAAACAGGAUUAANNANNCUGGNAGUCCACGCCGUAANCGAUGUCACUANCNCUGGAAU